rnacentral:rRNA from 1 species
GACGAACCGUCCAAACGUUAUUCGGAAUCACUGGGCUUACAGAGUUCGUAGGCGGUUUGGAAAGUUGGGUGUGAAAUCCCUCGGACUCAACCGGAGGAACUGCGCUCAAAACUGCCAGACUCGAGGGAGAUAGAGGAAAGCGGAACUGAUGGUGGAGCGGUGAAAUGCGUUGAUAUCAUCAGGAACACCGGUGGCGAAGGCGGCUUUCUGGGUCUUACCUGACGCUGAGGAACGAAAGCUAGGGGAGCGAACGGG